rnacentral:rRNA from 1 species
AUACAGAGGGUGCAAGCGUUAAUCGGAAUUACUGGGCGUAAAGCGCGCGUAGGCGGUUUGUUAAGUCGGAUGUGAAAUCCCUGGGCUCAACCUGGGAACUGCAUUCGAAACUGAUUGACUAGAGUAUGGUAGAGGGUGGUGGAAUUCCUAGUGUAGCGGUGAAAUGCGUAGAUAUUAGGGGGAACAUCAGUGGCGAAGGCGACCACCUGGACCAAUACUGACGCUGAGGUGCGAAAGCGUGGGGAGCAAACAGGAUUAGAAACCCUAGUAGUCC